rnacentral:misc_RNA from 1 species
UAGCGAGAUAAAUCCACCGAGGUAGAAAAUAUAAGCAGGAGAUUGGAAGUGAAUUAAAUCUGAAACUAUGCAAUGGGAGAAAAAUAUCUCUCUCACGGUGUUCCUUGCCUGCUCAAUGAAGCAUUCUAAAAUAAUACAUCAUGUCCUCCUGUAAGAAAUUCAAUGAGGGAGAAAAAAGAGCACGAAGAAAAAUCCAUGCAAGGAAAACAAAACAAAAAAAACUAAACACUCUUUUUAAAUUAUAAAUCUGCAGAUUUCUAGCCUUCCAUUUAGGCUAUGAUGAAGAUCCUGGAACAUGGUCAAGGAUAGAAAGCUUCCUUCAAUUGCAAAGAAGUUACGAAACUUUCAAGCUUUUUAAUGCAGAAGCAAGCACAGGAACCUUUCCAGAAGCCCUAUGCUUGUAUUCUUUCUCCAAGGCUGCAGUUGCAAGAGAUUGCAGGUCUGGGCUAUCCUUGUCUUCCUUGUUUCGCCCUUUUGUAAGUUGUGCGAUGGCAGAUGUACACAAACAAAUACCAAAAAGCGCUCUGGUGUUCUUGCCCCCAGUCAAGUCUAUUGUUGAUGAAUAAUAUUUCUUUGCUGCCUGAAGGUUUUCUAGUCCACCAAGUGUGUACAGCACAUCAGCAUAGGCUAAAUGAUAUAGUGGGACUGUAGGCUGAGAUAGUAUUAACUCCUCAUAGCAGAAAGCUGCUUGCUUGUACAUCUGUAAGGAAACAUAUAUCUCAGCAAGUUCUCUCCAGGCAUCAGAAUCUGCCAUAAAUAUUUCUAGAUAUUUGUUGAGAAAUUCAAUAGCUUCUGACACUUUGCCUUGUGCCUUUGCCAAAGCAACCCUCCUUUUAUGUAUUACCUGAUCCAAUGGAUUAUCCUCUAGCAAGCUUAAGUAAGCCUUUUCUGCCUCUGUCCAAGAUCCCUUUGCUUCGAGUAACAUCCCCUCCAGCCCGCCAACUCUUUUGCUCUCUGGAAAUCUUUUCUGCAACACAUUAAUGCAAUCCUUUGCAACAUCAAGAGAUUGGCAGUCCAUAGCCGCAAUUGCCACCUGUUCGUAAAGAGUCCAUUCUACAUCAAGAAAUGAACACCUACCGGUUAGAAGUACCAUCCAAUAAUUGUAGAGCUAUACCUCUCUAAAAAGGGGAGGAAAGCAUUGAAGAAAACCGUAAAUUACGGAGAAAACCAGAAGUCUUUCAAUUUUCGGGUACGCGAUCACACUUUCUUUUCACAGCAGUGCCAGUCUACAAGACUAACAUAAAACAGGCUCCAAUCCAACCCAAUCAGAAACAAUCUUAAACCUCCAAAUAUAACAAUGAGAAAAAAACCUCCAAAUCCAAAAUUUCAUGCCCGCAAACUUAGAACUCAUCAAAAUAUUGGAAAAACUGAAAAUUCACCACAAUUAUGGAAAACCCAAUAGAGCAAAUCGAAAGAGAAAGGAACCCAGAAAUACAGAGAAAGGAACCCAGAAAUACUCACCAUCAUGACCGAGACUAGAUCUCUUCUUGGGGUCAUUCAAGAUGGAUAAACCAUGCUUCAAGACCUUUUCAGAACGCCUAACCUUGAGCUUCCUGACCAAACAGAGAUAAUCCCAAGCGCCACCUCCUCCAUGCUCCAACUGACUCUCAAGCCUAUUCAACUGUGUCUCCUCUGUUUUGGUCACCAUAGUGGACUCAAAAUUCUGUCACUCCGCCUCCUUUGUUUCUGUCAGCGUUCCCUGGCCGGCUUUCGGACCUGUCGUAGUUAAUGUUCGGACGAGUGUGAACUGAGUCGGAAGUGUCCCAGUUUUGUACGUUUGAGGGUUGAUCCAAGGGCAUGG